CUAAUUUAGCUUUUAGUUGUAUAAAGAAAUAGAGAAAGGCUAUUUAUUAAAUGGUCUUUGAAACUUACACUACUAGCAAUUACCAACCAUUGGUCCUAAUGUUAAAACUGCUUUUUAGAAGUUUUUAUGAGUUUUUAACUAACCUCUUUUAGAUGAACAAAUCUUAAAAUGUUUGUUUAUUUUUGUGUAAGCCAUGAAGUAUUGUAUACAGUAUGUUUCUAAUGUGCUGUUUUUAAACAUCCAGAUUUUGUCACCAGAAGUUUAUCACAGACUUGUUCCUUUUUUAAAUUUCUAAUUUAUAUUUUCUAAAUUUUUUUAAUAGAUGAAGGUUAUUCUUUCAGCAGUGUCCUGUAUUAUGGAAAUGAAGCUACUCUUCUUAUUUUUGAUCUGCUGUUCUUCUGUGUUGUGGAUUUGGCUUGCCAAAAUUUUAUUUUAGCAUCCUUCCUUACAUAUCUACAACAAGAGAUUUUUAGAUAUAUCCGUAAUACAGUAGGACAAAAGAAUUUGGCAUCCAAAACAUUGGUGGAUCAAAGAUUUUUGAUUUAACUUCCUGAAUAAAUAACUUAAAGACUCAGUAUAAUCAUGGCCAAAAAAAAGUCAUGAUAUCAGGUUAGUUUGCCAUAUUUUUUAAAACUUAUAAUGCAGACUAUUCUGUUUUUGUUUUUUAUUUGCAGAAAGAUUUAUUUUUAUAACUUGGGAAUAUAUAACCUGAUAUAAUAGAAAAUACUGUUUUCCCAUUGUGUGUAGUAUUUAAUGCAGUAAAUAAUAAAUUAAUACUGACAGUGAGGCC
rnacentral:lncRNA from 1 species